CAUUGUUCUGCGUGCUGGAGGCGUGGCUCGUUGUCUGGGGGCUUGUGGACCGCAGUGAAGACUUCAGCUUUCAUUGAGAGUGGCCAGGAGCUGUGGGAAGGCUCUGAGCCGAGGAGGGACAGAACCCGAGUUCCAUUUUAACAGAUUCCCUGUGGCUGCCGAGUGGGGACAAGAGAGCCCAGUGAGGACACAGUCUCGGGGCAUAAUUACGGGUUCGUUGGAACACAUUCUUUACUACGAGUGACAGUCAUGUCACACCUUGAUGGUCAACCAGAUGGAAGCAGAAGUCAUAUGGGAGGCUGAUACCUUUUGUGUCCCUGGUAAUGAGGUCCAGAGGGGGCUUCCGCGUUCCUUCUUCCUUGAAUGUGGGUGUGAUAGCCAGCGCUGGGGCAGUCAUUUUGCGGUCAUGAAGCAACAGACAUGAAAGUCAACAUGCUAAGGAUGAUGAGACAGAGAGACAGAAGGAACCUGGGACAUUAGAUGUCAUUGAACCAAUACCUGAAACCCUCUUCUUCUAGACUUUUCAUUAUGUGAGAAAAAUAAACUACCUAUUUGUUUAUAUCA